GACGAACCGUGCGAACGUUGUUCGGAAUCACUGGGCUUAAAGGGCGCGUAGGCGGCCCGCCGCGUCCGGGGUGAAAUCCUCCCGCUCAACGGGAGAACGGCCUCGGAUACGGGCGGGCUGGAGGGGGGUAGGGGCAGGCGGAGCUGUGGGUGGAGCGGUGAAAUGCGUUGAGAUCGGAAGGAACGCCCGUGGCGAAAGCGAGGCCCUGGACCCUUACUGACGCUGAGACGCGAAAGCCAGGGGAGCGAACGGG
rnacentral:rRNA from 1 species